UACGAAGGGUGCAAGCGUUAAUCGGAAUUACUGGGCGUAAAGGGUGCGUAGGCGGUUCGUUAAGUCUGUCGUGAAAUCCCCGGGCUCAACCUGGGAAUGGCGAUGGAUACUGGCGAGCUAGAGUGUGUCAGAGGAUGGUGGAAUUCCCAGUGUAGCGGUGAAAUGCGUAGAUAUUGGGAGGAACACCAGUGGCGAAGGCGGCUCACUGGACCGGAACUGACGCUGAGGCGCGAAAGCGUGGGGAGCAAACAGG
rnacentral:rRNA from 1 species